GCCGAGGUAGACCGUAGAAGGUAGCGGGGCAGACUGUAAAUCUGCUGUCAUUGCGACUCGGGCGGUUCGAUCCCGUCCCUCGGCACCA
rnacentral:tRNA from 2 species